rnacentral:lncRNA from 1 species
AUUUGGGGCUGGAGGAGGCGGAUCCGGCGCCGGAAUGGGCGGAGGAACGGCGGAGAAGCGGCGGCUGCAGCUUGGCGGGCGAGGCGGCGGCUCCGGCGGGACUCACGGUGGCCGGAGGUGACUGAAUCGCGGCCUGAGCUGGCCGAACAGCCCUUGGGACGCACGAGCAGAGGCCACGGAGACGGCUGGGCAUCGGCCAAGCGCGGGCGGAUGGGCAGCGACGGCGAGCUCCGGCGAACGGGCGACGAGCGACGGCCAUGGCUGCAGCUUCUUCGACAAGCUCAGAUCUGAUGGGUCUCCGAGCAAGAACCCGAGAUGGACGAGAGAGGGCGACGGUGAGCGGACACGCGGCUGCGAGCGCGAACGGCGGCAACAACGGCCGCAUUGGCGGCGAGCGACAAGUGGCGAAGGAAGCGGAUGGCGAGGGACUGCUUCGGCUUCUUCCUCUACAAAUUUUCUGGUCUUUCGCACAAAGAAGAUAGAGAAGAAACCAUCGGAAGGGAGAGAGGAAGGAGAGAGAAGGAGAGAGAAGGAGGGGGCCCCUUUUCUUUUCUUUUUCCUUUUCUUUAAUUCAACAAAUGGCCCACCAUGACAUCACUUGAUGAUGUCAUACUCCACCAUCUCCCACAACCUUAUUCCAAUGGGUUCACUUGCAAUUUCCGCCGGGGUCCAAUUCUUUGUACAAUAACUUCUUCAAUUUCACUCGAUUCUCUUCUAAUUGAAUUAAAUUAAAGCCCAUAAAAUCAAUUCAAUGUCACCACACUUCAAUUCACAUCUUUACUUGUCUAUAGAACCAACUUAAGUCCCAAAAGCAAGACCAAAGGCGGCCUACUAAUUUCUCGAGCCAAAAUAGCCAUACCUUGAUUAUUUUGCCGAAAAACUCGGCUUGCAUGAAAAAAUCUUCCGAAGAUUAGUCAAUGUUCCUAAAAUGAUUUGUGACACACCCAGACUUCCAAUUUCUGAAUUCGAUCUCAAUUUCACGGUUAAUUUCACUUUGGCACGAUACUAGCGCGGCCCAACCUACCGAGUAGCCUUUAGAAAUUUUCAUGCAUCUGACCUGUGGUUGAUCAUCUCAAGCCACAAUGUACAUCUUUGAAACAUUUGCGACUUUCGAUUGUCGAGGUAAUCUCAAGGUUUCAAAUACGACACAGGGUACCCAAUCGAUAGAAAAGUCAGCCCAGUGUCGAUUGACAAGGAUUAUGCGAUCUGGUGGAAUCACCCACACUCGAUCACAUGCCUCUGUCGAGUCGACCUAUCCCCGGUCUCUAAUCGAUUUUUAUUUGUGCCGUAAUGACCCUUGCAGAUUAGCUCGGUCGAAAGGUCGCUUCCUGGCCAAAUUCUCAAGUCCGAUGCAUUAUAAUUUCUUAAUGACUUCACCCGAUAGACUAGCUUUCACAUGAGUGGCCGACUCAAGGAAAAGAACUAUAGGCGUGCCAACGAAAUGCCCGUCUCAAUUUAUUGAAAAUAGAAUUGGAAAAUCGGGAUGUCACAACUCUUCCCCUCUUAUAAAAAUUUCGUCCUCGAAAUUUAAACAUUUACCAAUUCUUAAACCAAAAGGUGGGGGUACUGUCAUCUCAUAUAAUCUUCUAUUUCUCAGGUUGCUCUUUCUGCACCAAUGCUGCCAGAUCACUGCUAUCUUGUCCAAACCACUUCGGAUUCAAAAUACUAAACGCUUGCCCACUUAAAAUUCCAAAAGCCUUCAACACAAAAUCUGCGAAGCUAAAUUGGCAAUUAUGAGCAUUCACUAAACCGUCUUUGAUAAUUGCAACUGAAUCACUGAUUUCUGAACCAACUCUGGACCUGCGAUUUUCUAAUCUCUGAUCUCAUCUCAACCAACUGAAGUCUUGCACAUUCUGCUCUGCACUUAUUAGAAAGACACUAUCUGACUGAUCUACUGAAACUGGAAACCUCUGGUCAAGAUCUGAUAUAACUCGGCAACUGCAAUCACUGACUACAGUACUAACCUUGACCUGUCAUCUUUCUUUCCCUGACUUCCUCUCAACAAUUGAAAUUCUGCACUCUCUGUUAUACACUGCUUAAGAAAGAACCAUCUGAAAGCUCUGCCAAUUUGGAACAUUUGAUCUAGAUUUGGAAUACGAUUCAUCCUUGGCGCUCCAUACAGAUGAUUUAUAUGAUAUACACACUUCGGUAUGCCUAUUCUAAUCGAAAUCUUUUCGUGCUGUACUAAGGCGAGUUGACACUGCUCAUUUGUCGACCACAACCUCAUAAGGAAUCAAUACUCUUCUCGACUCCUUAAUAAGCCUAUCAUAACAUUCCAUUCCCACACAGGAGUCUCUCAAGUGCUUGAAAAAGCUUUCCUGGCUUACAUUACCAAAUUCUCACUUACUGAUACAUCCAACAUUUACAACUUGUUCGACGAUAUCUAUCUUCAUACCGAUCUACCAAUCCCGAUGACGUAGAUUCUGACUCAUCUUUGUACUGUCUGGACAACACUGAAGUUGCUAUGAUGAGCUUCCCAUAAGAUCUCUUCUUUAAUCUCUGUAUCGACAAUUACAUACAAUCGUCCUUAGAACCUUAGCGUUCUGCCUUCGGAAAUCUGAAAAUCAAUCUCUCUCUCAUCUGCAUUCUCUUAUAGAAUCUUCUGAAUUUCUGAAUCUGUCAACUGAAGCGAUUUGAUUCUGAUUUGUACUCUCUGCUCAAUUCUGAAGGUAGUCAUAAGAUUUAAAAGGUGGCAUACCUUAGAUUUGAAAACUGAACUUCGGACUUCCUCAAGUAAGAUCCAAUCCUUGAGUACUAACUGUGCAACUAAGGACUCUCGACUCAGUGUAUCUGUAACUUUGCUCACUUUUCCAGGGUGAUAUAGGAUAUCACAGUCAAAAUCCUUAGGAAUUCCACUCAGCGACGCUAUCUCACUUUCAACUCCUUUUUGAGAGAAUACACACUUGAGACCUUGAUGGUUAAUGAAAUCAUGAUGCAUUAACACACAACCUAGUCCUUUAAACGACGCAUCACAAUAGGUCUCAACCCUCCUAGAUAAGAUGGAAUAGUAAGCACAAGUGCGGUAGUCAGCUUCUGCUUAAGCUCUUGAAAACUACGCUCGCACUCAUCUGUCCACACAAACUUUUCUUACUUCCUCAGUAGUUGAAUCAACUACAACGCUGACGCUGAAAUCCCUUCCACAAAACUUCUGUAAUAUCCUGCUAAUCCCCAGAAACUUCUAAUCUCUGUCACUGUCGUCAAUCUUGACCAACUAUUCACUACUUCAAUCUUGGAUGGGGUCUACGGAGAUUUCUUCACCUGAAAUCACGUGACCUAAGAGCGCAACACGAGUCAUCCAAAACUCACACUUGCUAAGUUUAUUGUAAAAUCCAAAAGCACUCAAGGUCUGAAGUACCAUCCCCGAAUGUCUCUCGUGCUCCUCAGCACUCUUUGAACACACCAGGAUAACUUCAAUGAACAUGAUCACAACUGAUUCAAGUACCCUUAAACAUUCUGCUCAUAAGACCCAAACAAACAACUAAGGUGUCCAUCAAACCAUACUGUAUUACAGUGAACUCAUAACUGCUGUAUCGAGUGUGAGAUGCUAACUUCAGUAUGUCCCUUUUUCCUGNNNNNNNNNNNNNNNNNNNNNNNNNNNNNNNNNNNNNNNNNNNNNNNNNNNNNNNNNNNNNNNNNNNNNNNNNNNNNNNNNNNNNNNNNNNNNNNNNNNNAACUAAUGAUACCAUGACCUCCAGUCGAUCUUAAGAAAUAUCGAUGUACAAACACAAUAAACCAACUUUCUUCCUCACGAAUAGAACAGGUGCUCCCCAAGGUGAUACACUGGAAAGUAUGAAUCCCCUAUCCAACACUUCCUGCAUCUACACCUUCAGUUCGUUUAACUCGAGUGACACCAUCCGGUAAGGAGCCUUAGGGAUUGGCUCUGUUCCGGGUGCUAAUUCAAUCACGAACUCUAUUUCUCUUUCUGACAGCAGACUUAGCAAUUCUUCCUGACACACCUCAGAAAACUUCUGUACCAUGGCUAAGUUUCUCAUAUCUGGCUUCUCAACUGACGCAUCUAUUACAGUUGCCAUGCAUAUUUGGUAACCAACAACCAGAACCAGGUCAUCUUCAGCGACGAACAACAAGGGUUGAAGUUCCUCUUCAACUUUCAGUGAUUCAAAACUAUCACAUGCUAACUGAACAAACUGAAUUAUGUUACUACUACGAUUCAAAACAACAGAAAGCUCCUUGAGCCAAACCCUUUCAUAAAUGACUUCCAAGUCAUACUUAAGCAGCCCUUCAAGUACAACUAUAGUCAGAGACUCAUCUUUCUAUCACUUUAUUACCACAACGAAAAUCCUAUAACCUUCACUGAAAAUUCUGCUACACUACUCUGAUAACAUCUCAAAAACAUUUUUCUUCUAAUUGAUGCAUGGUCGAUCCCUUCAUGCUCCUCUAGCCAUCCUAGCGGCGUCCAAUCUGCAGUAACAGUGCUUACGCUCACCUGAACUUUCAUAGUUAGUUCUCAACAUGACGGCUGUGCUGGCCAUAUUCAGAUCAUGCUCCUUUUUUUUUUUACUCUGACACUAGGCUAACUCAUGCCUCCUUUCCACUGACUCGGCACACAAUCAGGGAGUCAUUUACCUCCUAUCAAGGAAUAUCAUGCACCCUUCUUUGCACUGGGGUCUGUUCCAAGUAUCCCAUUAAAUGUCCCGAAGCAUGUUUCCUCUGUUCUGUCUCAUCAACGGCGGUGCAGAAACAACUAUGGUUCCAUCCAUCUAUACGAGCCAUCUUUAAUCAAAUGGCUUUACUGGCGACACCUGUAACAAGUCCUUUCCCUCUUACAGCACAGAACAGAUCCAUGUCUUUUCUUACAGACACGACAUGCAUCAAUGGAGUUGAGCACUGACUUUCCAACUAUACUCUUCCGGUUGGGUGAAACAGGGCAUCUUUCUUCUGACAUCGGCCUUUCUCCCCAAUCGAUUUUCCUCUAUCUAAGCUGAACUUUGACUCAGAAACGGAGGCUUGAUCCUCGAUCACAACUCCAGAUUGGGCCUCAACAAGCGUGGCAAUAACAACGGUCACAACACUGGCAACAGUAGAAACAAUGGUAACAACAACGGCUUGAUCCUGAGCUUACUGACCCAACAAGCUUCCAAGGGACACUAGCGCCUGAACAAUCACGGCGAACCUAGGAUCAUUCGGUGUUGCUACACUCUAAGUACCGACUUGCGACGGUACUCUCACACUCGCACUGGUCUAAGCCUGCGCUUUACCUUGGGUACCAACUCUUGUCAGCAUCCUACCCCGAGAUAUAGGUCCUACCAACCUUUUCCAAGGAGUCCUCCACUCCUAGUCACUCAUCGUACAGGUUCUUUAUAGACACCUGCUUUCCGAUUCCAACAUCAGGUUAGAAUUUGAGUGACUCCAUAAACAAGCUACCAAGCAGCUAUCAACCACAUGCAUCAACAUAUUAAAAGCCUUUCCUACUAACUAUCCCAUGACUCAUCGCACCUUAUCACUCCAUACAUAGACCAUGCUCUGAUACCACUUAAGCUGGGAUGUCACGCCCCGACCUCGAGCGCCGCCAACAUCCCACCAUGGUCAUGCAAAUGCGACAUUCCCAGGUAGUGUCGCCGACCCCAUUCAUUUAUGAUGCGCAAGCGGAACAUAUUAUAAACCCCUGACAAUGAAAUACGGGAUAGAAAAGCAGGAAACAAUUUCACAACCAAUCACUUAAACAAACCAACGGAGUUACAGACGAAGGCCUACAGCCAAAAGUCUACAAAAGACCGGCUCUUAAAAAUGAACUGUCCUACAACCUACAAGUCGGACACGCUCUCCAAUCCUUAUGACUUCACCUCUGCAACUCCUCAAGGCCAACCAAAGCUAUAUGGCCGCUCCUUCCACCAGGGACCUGAAAUUUUAAUCCCACAACCGGGAUGAGACAAUGUUUCAGCAAGUUCAACCCCCUAAACCCCUAUUAGAAAGAAAAUACGCCCAAGGGUGGCCUAGCCACAUCACACAGAGAACUUACCUCACCUCAAUUCCUUCCUGCAGGUUAGCACAAUUCAAAUCGCUCAAUCACAGAUAGUAAAUAGGAACUUAAACAACCGAAACGCAUUCACUUUCAUAUAACCAACAACCACGGGGGUCCUGAUUAUAAAACUAAAUCGUUAUGACACGUCUCAUUCCAUGCCACACAAUUCCGUCCCAUAAUCCGACCCAUCAACAACACUCAACAUGCAUUCCAAUUGUCAUUCACUGCUAAACAAGGGCAUAGGCUAUCUGCUAACAUUACGGCAUUUCUAGAAGAAUAAAGGUCCAGUCGGUCUCGCCACUACUGCGACCAAGCCAUGUUAUUCUAUCGACGGCAUUUCUAGAAGAAUAAAGGUCCAGUCGGUCCCGCCACUACUGCGACCAAACCACGUCAUUCUAUCGACGGCAUUUCUAGAAGAAUAAAGGUCCAGUCAGUCUCGCCACUACCGCGACCAAGCCACGUCAUUCUAUCGACGGCAUUUCUAGAAGAAUAAAGGUCCAGUCGGUCCCGCCACUACUGUGACAAGCCACGUCAUUCUAUCGACGGCAUUUCUCGAAAAAUAAAGGUCCAGUCGGUCCCGCCACUACUGUGACCAAGCCACGUCAUUCUAUCGACGGCAUUUCUCGAAGAAUAAAGGUCUAGUCGGUCCUGCCACUACUGCGACCCGAGCCACGUCACUCUCUUGACGGCAUUUCUAGCAGAAUAAGGAUCCAGUCGGCUUAGCCACUACUACGACCCGAGCCUUUCAACUAGCACACGACAAUUCGAUACCGAUCCCUGGAUACUUUACAUUUCACUCACAUAAUCCAAUUACGAUAUUAACCAUUAACAAUCCAAUUUCAAUGCCAAACUCGACACUUGGAAUUUUCUAAAUAAAAUCCAUACUUUUCACAAUCCACACUCAAUUUAUAAUAUCCAAUCACCAAUUUCAAAAUCUGACUACACAGCAGCGACCGGCACGAAAUUCUGAGAAUUUAGGGUCCUAACAAAAUUUUCGGAAUUUAAUAAUUACUUAAAUUAUUCCGAAAAUAAUUAAAUAAUAAUAUUUUAAUAAUUUCGAAUAAUAUAAUAUUAUUUAAUUAUUAAACAAUUUCGAAAUAUUUAAAUAAAUCAAAAGUAAAUUCCUUUAUGUCACAUCACAGUUUAUAUUAAUAUAACCACUCACUUAACCUUAAAUUAAACACAAUUUAAGUUAAUCAAACACCUUAAUAUAAUCUACACUUAAAUAAAUGAAACUGACCACCUAAUAACACUUAACAUAAACUAAGCACCCAUAAAGCAUCAUUAACCCUCUAAUCAAGGUUUAGUGAGUUAAACUCAUCGGAUUAAUGAGCCGAGCAAACCAAAACGACGAGGACGACGCGAGGAUCGACUUUCCUCAAGGCGGGCCAAGCAUCCGAGCUCGGGAAGACGGCCAAAACGGGCCAAAUAGGUGCUUUCAUACCCAUUUUUGCAACCACUGAUUUGGGGCUGGAGGAGGCGGAUCCGGCGCUGAAAUGGGCGGAGGAACGGCGGAGAAGCAGCGGCUGCAGCUUGGCGGGCGAGGCGGCAGCUCCGGCAGGACUCACGGUGGCCGGAGGUGACUGAAUCGCGGCCUGAGCUGGCCGAACAGCCCCCGGGACGCACGAGCAGAGGCCACGGAGACGGCUGGGCGUCGGCCAAGCGCGGGC